UCGACCUGAGGUCAGGCAAGAACACCCGCUGAACUUAAGCAUAUCAAUAAGCGGAGGAAAAGAAACUAACUAGGAUUCCCUUAGUAGCGGCGAGCGAACCGGGAUGAGCCCAACUUGUAAAUCAUUAGCCCUCGGCUAAUUGAAUUGUAGUCUCAAGAUGCGAUCUCUGCAGCUAGCAGUGCCCAAUUUUCCUUGGAAAAGGGAGUCAGAGAGGGUGAUAACCCCGUCGGCACUUGCCUCAGCUGCUCCACGAGGCGU
rnacentral:rRNA from 1 species